CCCGCUGAACUUAAGCAUAUCAAUAAGCGGAGGAAAAGAAACUAACAAGGAUUCCCCUAGUAACUGCGAGUGAAGCGGGAAAAGCUCAAAUUUUAAAUCUGGUGGCCCCGCCGCCCGAGUUGUAUUCUGGAGAAGCGUCUUCCGCGCCGGACCGUGUACAAGUGCCUUGGAACAGGGCGUCAUAGAGGGUGAGAAUCCCGUCUUUGACACGGACCCCCGGUGCUCUGCGAUGCGCUCUCGAAGAGUCGAGUUGUUUGGGAAUGCAGCUCAAAAUGGGUGGUAAAUUCCAUCUAAAGCUAAAUAUUGGCGAGAGACCGAUAGCGAACAAGUACCGUGAGGGAAAGAUGAAAAGCACUUUGGAAAGAGAGUAAAACAGUACGUGAAAUUGUUGAAAGGGAAACGCUUGAAGUCAGUCGCGUCUGCCGGAACUCAGCCCUGCUUCUGCUUGGCGCACUUUCCGGUCCGACGGGCCAGCAUCGGUUUCGUGGGGCGGACACUGGCGGGGGGAAGGUGGUGGCUCCGGCCGCGUUAUAGCCCUCUGUCGCAAACGUCUCGUGGGACCGAGGAAUCCGGCGCAAGCCUGGGAUGCUGGCGUAAUGGCUUUAAACGACCCGUCUUGAAACACGG
rnacentral:rRNA from 1 species